ACGAACGCUGGCGGCAUGCCUAACACAUGCACGUCGAACGCGACCUUCGGGUCUAGUGGCGCACGGGUGCGUAACGCGUGGGAACCUGCCCUUAGGUUCGGAAUAACUCCCCGAAAGGGGUGCUAAUACCGGAUAAUGUCUUCGGACCAAAGAUUUAUCGCCUUUGGAUGGGCCCGCGUUGGAUUAGCUAGUUGGUAGGGUAAAAGCCUACCAAGGCGACGAUCCAUAGCUGGUCUGAGAGGAUGAUCAGCCACACUGGGACUGAGACACGGCCCAGACUCCUACGGGAGGCAGCAGUGGGGAAUAUUGGACAAUGGGCGAAAGCCUGAUCCAGCAAUGCCGCGUGAGUGAUGAAGGCCUUAGGGUUGUAAAGCUCUUUUACCCGGGAUGAUAAUGACAGUACCGGGAGAAUAAGCUCCGGCUAACUCCGU
rnacentral:rRNA from 1 species